GUAGUGUUGUUUUUUCUAAAAAACAAUGAGGUACAAUAUCUGCUCUUAUCAAUAUAAAACAUCUGAUAUGUGGGCCAUUGGUCCACAUGAUAUUAACAUUUUUUUCAGGGGGGGAGACUCACUUAGGUAGUUUGCUGCUACCUGGGCCUUCACGCACUGCCUAGGCGUUGCACUACAAGUCAGCCCCCCCUCC